rnacentral:rRNA from 1 species
AGUGGCGGACGGGUGAGUAACGCGUGAGAAUCUGCCUUGGGGUCGGGGACAACCACUGGAAACGGUGGCUAAUACCGGAUAAGCCGAUUGGUGAAAGAUUUAUUGCCCGAAGAGGAGCUCGCGUCUGAUUAGCUAGUUGGUGAGGUAAGAGCUCACCAAGGCAGCGAUCAGUAGCUGGUCUGAGAGGACGAUCAGCCACACUGGGACUGAGACACGGCCCAGACUCCUACGGGAGGCAGCAGUGGGGAAUUUUCCGCAAUGGGCGAAAGCCUGACGGAGCAACACCGCGUGAGGGAGGAAGGCUCUUGGGUUGUAAACCUCUUUUCUCAGGGAAGAAGCUCUGACGGUACCUGAGGAAUCAGCCUCGGCUAACUCCGUGCCAGCAGCCGCGGUAAUACGGAGGAGGCAAGCGUUAUCCGGAAUUAUUGGGCGUAAAGCGUCCGCAGGUGGCGAUUCAAGUCUGCUGUCAAAGCACGGGGCUUAACUCCGUAAAGGCAGUGGAAACUGAAUAGCUAGAGUGCCGUAGGGGUAGAGGGAAUUCCCGGUGUAGCGGUGAAAUGCGUUGAGAUCGGGAAGAACAUCGGUGGCGAAAGCGCUCUACUGGACGGCAACUGACACUCAGGGACGAAAGCUAGGGGAGCGAAUGGGAUUAGAUACCCC